UGGGGAAUAUUGCACAAUGGGCGCAAGCCUGAUGCAGCCAUGCCGCGUGUAUGAAGAAGGCCUUCGGGUUGUAAAGUACUUUCAGUCGGGAGGAAGGUGGUAAGGUUAAUAACCUUGGCAAUUGACGUUACCGACAGAAGAAGCACCGGCUAACUCCGUACCAGCAGCCGCGGUAAUACGGAGGGUGCAAGCGUUAAUCGGAAUUACUGGGCGUAAAGCGCACGCAGGCGGUUGAUUGAGUCAGAUGUGAAAUCCCCGGGCUUAACCCGGGAAUUGCAUCUGAUACUGGUCAGCUAGAGUCUUGUAGAGGGGGGUAGAAUUCCAUGUGUAGCGGUGAAAUGCGUAGAGAUGUGGAGGAAUACCGGUGGCGAAGGCGGCCCCCUGGACAAAGACUGACGCUCAGGUGCGAAAGCGUGGGGAGCAAACAGG
rnacentral:rRNA from 1 species